AUUGAACACUGGCGGCAGGCUUAACACAUGCAAGUCGAGCGGAAACGAUGAUAGCUUGCUAUCAGGCGUCGAGCGGCGGACGGGUGAGUAAUACUUAGGAAUCUACCUAGUAGUGGGGGAUAGCACGGGGAAACUCGUAUUAAUACCGCAUACGACCUACGGGAGAAAGGGGGCAGUUUACUGCUCUCGCUAUUAGAUGAGCCUAAGUCGGAUUAGCUAGAUGGUGGGGUAAAGGCCUACCAUGGCGACGAUCUGUAGCUGGUCUGAGAGGAUGAUCAGCCACACCGGGACUGAGACACGGCCCGGACUCCUACGGGAGGCAGCAGUGGGGAAUAUUGGACAAUGGGGGAAACCCUGAUCCAGCCAUGCCGCGUGUGUGAAGAAGGCCUUUUGGUUGUAAAGCACUUUAAGCAGUGAAGAAGACUCCGUGGUUAAUACCCACGGACGAUGACAUUAGCUGCAGAAUAAGCACCGGCUAACUCUGUGCCAGCAGCCGCGGUAAUACAGAGGGUGCAAGCGUUAAUCGGAAUUACUGGGCGUAAAGGGAGCGUAGGUGGCUCUAUAAGUCAGAUGUGAAAUCCCCGGGCUUAACCUGGGAACUGCAUCUGAAACUGUAGAGCUAGAGUAUGUGAGAGGGAGGUAGAAUUUCAGGUGUAGCGGUGAAAUGCGUAGAGAUCUGAAGGAAUACCGAUGGCGAAGGCAGCCUCCUGGCAUAAUACUGACACUGAGGCUCGAAAGCGUGGGUAGCAAACAGG
rnacentral:rRNA from 1 species